CGCCCUGUAGGGGGCAGCGGCUCGGAGGAUCGGAGUGCCCUGCAGGGCAGUCCUCUUCCUUCCCUCCCCGCUGGAGCGGAGCCCUCACGGCAGGCAGCAGGAGGCGGCGCAGCGGGAAGGGUCGCGUGGCAGCGCCCCUGCUGUCACCCUGGCCGCCCCUUUCUCUCUCUCUCCCGCCCGCUCCCUCCUCCUCCCCUCCCCCCCAGCCGGUCCCCCUGCACCCGCGCUCCGGCCACGCCGCAGCACACCGGGCAACGAACCCCGCUGUUGCUGUCCUCAGGCAUUCUGUGCUGGCAACAGUCUUGGCGUCCCUGGGUGGGCUUGAGGCUGAAAUUUAGCCUUGCCCGGACCCCUCUCGGAGGUCGACAGAUUGCGGCGGCGACCGACGCCCAGCGCGCACUGGUGACUUUACUGGGAGCCUCGGCGGAGACGUGGUUUGGUCGACCCCAGAGGGCACAACAGUGCAACGCACUCGAGCAGUGGAGAAACAGCUGCGGGCGAUGGUGGGGAACCGGUCCCGUGGAUAAGGUAUACCAGAGAUUUGCAGCCUCUCCCGCUGGAUGCCCCUGUCCACUCCUUGCAGCCAGGCGAUUCCGUUCUCGUUCGGACCUGGAAGGAUGAGCCUCUCCAAGAGAAGUGGAAGGGACCCCACACCGUCCUGCUGGUCUCCCACACAGCAGCAAAGGUCGAGGGACACAAGAACUGGAUUCGUCACUUCCAUCUGAAGGCAGUGCCUGCUCCUGAACGGUGGACUAUCCAGCCUACGGAAAAGGACUACCAGCGACAACCUGGGACUUAAACUGUUAUUCAAAAAAACCAAUAAGAUCUGCUGGGAAUGCCCUGUGGUCUCUUUGGACAGUCGCAGCGCACUCCCCGCGAAAACUCUAAGCGUUGGUUGUGUUUACUCUCACAGGGCCGGUCUAACCUGGUUUUCAAUUCCCUUUGAAGUUGGUUGCCCGACCUAGGAGGACUGGGGGGUGGCCUUGGGCGUCUCCUCUUCACAGGUGUGGUACUGUGCCUGGUCACCCUCCUCCUGAUUGCUUGUUUUAAGAUGCUCCUCCGUAAGCUUUGUGCCCCCCCCCCGUUCCUCAAAAAUCCCAGCAUACCCUCUCAUUGAAAACCCCAGCUUCAUAGCACUUAAUCAUAUCUUGUCCACAGAAUAUGAGAAAACUCAGCCAAAGGCUUGUUGAGUAUUCUCAAAGGGGGGAGUUGUUGGUGUCACUAGACAUAACCCUAGGUAACUCGGGAGGGUGGAAGGCCACUAAGUGUCAAUGAAGCCUUCCUGCACUAGGCCUAUAUGAACCAAACUUCUUCCAUGUUUAAACUCUAAUCAACCUCAAAAGCCAGGUGCAAUUGGAAUAUGUAAGCAACCAGUUAUCUGUGUGCAACCCCCUGCUCACACCGGUAUCAAGUGGUAAUAAUGAGGCCUGCAUGGCGCUAAGCACACCAGGCAACGAACCCCGCUGUUGCUGUCCUCGGGCAUUCUGUGCCGGCAACAACAGUAUAUAACAAAAUCCUCCACCUCAAUUUUGCACAGCUGAAUAAGGGCAUCUCAUGGUACCAAUCCCUGCACUCACAUUUCAAUACAGUGGCAGAAAGGGAGCAGAAAGGAGAGAAGAGGGGUGUUGAUUUCCCCCACGCUGCACUGGACCCAAGAGCAGGAUUGGUGAGCCAAGAGGAGCAAUCUGCUCCAUCUUAAUGCAUGGAGCAGACUGUGCAGGUCCGGUGUGUCACAUGCAGCCUAGGAAAAAUUGUGCUUCAGUCUAGCCUUGCACAGCUUAGUGCAAAAGAGCAAAUUAGUGGAACAACUUAGCAGAAACAACAUACAGUCAAGCAAGUCUUUGCUCCGAAUGCAUAUUUGUAAUGUGAAAAGGUGAACAAAAACAUAAAAGAAAAUGAAAUAAAAUGCCCCCAAGGUGGGGGUCCAACCAUU